UUUGAUUACAAUCUUAAGGCAGUAACUUAGGCUUGCCCAAGAAAAGUGGUUUUCAAAGAUUUUAGGAUAAACUUUUUUGGCAAAAGUAAAUUAUUUGUUAACCAGAAAAUUUAAUUUUAUGGUUGAAGCUGGUGACAAGCACUUGGAACCCAAGUUUUGCAUAUUUGCUCUGCUCCCAUCUUCUGCCUCUAAGCAUCUGGAGGUAAGAAUAUAUCUAAGUCAAGAUACACCAACACAGGGAGAGAAGAUAUAAAGUGAUCUCCACUUCUGGAGUUGACUGCUGACUCUGUUAAGAUUAAAUUUAGUAGUAAAAGUUUUUUAAAAAUCCUGCACGGGGUAUGGAAGACAAUAUAAAGACUUAUUUGAGGAAAAAUAAUUUAAUAUAUUACAUAUGAAAGCAAUGUUUGGGGAUGUAUUACAUGUUUGGUUUGAAAGACCAAUAUCUAGACAUAAAUUCACAUAUGAUCUGAGGCAAAUAUGUUAAAGACAGUAUUCAGAACAAGUAAACUAAUAGUACCUAACUUCAGAGAUGUGCCCUGAACGGAUAGUAGAAAUGAGCAAACAUAGGCUUAAUUUGAAAAAUAUUUUUCAAAAAUGGGAGUUUUAGAAAAAAUAUAUAAUUGGCUGUCCUGUUAUAUACAUGCAUUGAGAAAAUAAUAGCUGACUGUCAGUAUUGUGCCAGAAAGGGACCUGAGGAAGAAAUGAACAUAUGUCCUGUUUCGCAAAAAGCCCACACAGUCCACAAGAGGAAAUGGACCAAUAAAUAGGUAAUUGUGAUAUGAAUUGGAUAAAGGCUACAACAGGAAUGAUGAUGAAGGGGAAGAUGGCAUUCAGGAAAGGCUUCACAAAGGAAACUGUUCUAAAUAAACUUCCCAGUUCAAAGUUGUAUCUCUUUAAUAUAUCCAUGUAGCUAGAAGGCACCUCAAACUUAAUAUAGCCAAAAUAGAGUGCCUGCCUGUCAUUAUUAAUCAUUCAUUUUCUAGUUUACCCAUUUAUGUAAAAAUCUUCAUUCAGUUGCUCAAGCAAAAACAAACAUUUUUGAGCAUCUCUUCUUUGCAUUAAACCAAACAAUUCCUCUUAAUUAUAUGACCAAAAGAGGAAAAUAUGUUUGAGAGCAACUAAAACAUUAGAAGUCAUUACAGUUUCUGAAUUACAGGUAAGUGAAGAAAACUGCACAGGAUCAUCAAAAGAGAACUGUGGUGAACUAACUCCUUGAGGAUCUCAGAACCAUUCAGCAUACAUUUUCCUCCAGGGUAAAUCCAUGUGAAAAAAGGAAACUUCUAGUUUCUGAAAUCAAAUUGAACAGAGCAGAAAGAUUGUAAGGAAAAAUGUAAAAUUCAUAUGUUAGAGGGUAGGAGAAGAAUCUAGAGAAAGCAGAUCUCAGAAAGCAUUAUGGCACCAAAAUAAAUAUAUAAACAUGAGAGUAACAUAUUAGACUUCAAGACCUGUUAAAUGUGAACACCAGAAAAUGCAGACAAAAAGCAGUUGGAACAUCUGACCUAGUAAUUUUUUAAGUGGGCUAAAUGGAAGAAAACAUUUAAACCUUUGAAACAGAAUGAAUCAGAAAAAUAAUCCAGAAACAGUCAACUGAAGGGUGUGAAACAAAAACUGAUGGAAGGAAACAAUUACAAAAAAAAAUCCAUAAAUGAAAGACUUGGAAGGUAGGAGAAACACUGAUAAAAAUGGUAAGGAAGAUAAGAGCAAAGUGAAGACAAUUUUUAAUUAUAUAAAAGAUUGAUAGAAGUAAUAGGUAAAAGAGCCAAUGGAGAUCUAAAUUAAAUAUGUUGUAUUGGAUGCUGUAUUGUGCUGACCCAAACCAUCCUCUACCUGUCACACCUUUUUCAGGUGAGAGGCAUUCAUUUCUCCAGUUUCUAGGGAAUAGUCCUUGUCUAAGGAAACUGCCCUUCCUAAGACCAGGCCUCCUGCUUCAGUCUGAGACACCUGCAAAAGGCUAUUCUAGUUACAGAGUUCCUUAUGGGAUGAGCAGAGGUAUUUGUCGUGACUGUUUGUAGUUCCAUUUAUCCUUCUAUCACUGCCUUACAAAUAUUUUUUCUUUUGUGAUACCCCUUUAAAUUGCCUUCAUCAAAUCCCUACCUCAUAAUAAUUUCUUCCCAGAACCUUACCUAGGUCAAGAGGAACCAGAAAUGGUCUUAGGAAAUAGACACCAAAAAGGGGCACUUUGGAGCAGGCAAUAUGGAUUCUCUCAUUUGUAGGAGGUAAAAUACCGAUGGUAGGUGCUUUCUGUCAUGCUAUGGCAGUAUAGUUUUAAAAUUUUCACCAAUGAUGCUAUUGGACAGGAAUAUACAUGCAUGUGUAAUAUCUCAAGCAGUUGAGAGGAUCAGGGGACAUAGCAAUUAUAUGAAAACUGCUAAAUUUCAGAGUCAUUGUUGUCUUGGAGAAAGAAAAUGAAGGCUGAGAGAAUCAUCAAUUUAAGGAAAAAUAUGAAAGUUAAAAGGUGUUAUGGUUUAGAUACCUGGUAUACCCCAAAAUCCCAUGUGUGAGAAUGCAAGAAGGUUUAGAGGCCAGAUGAUUGGGCCAUGAGAACUUAACCAAAUCAGUGUGUUAAUUCCUUGAUAGGGAUUAAUUGAGUGGUAACUGAAAGUGGGUAGGGUGUGGCUGAAGGAGGUGGGUCAUUAAGGGAAUGCCUUUGGGGUUUAUAUUUUGUGGUUGUGAGGAGAGCUCUCUCUCUGCUUCCUGGUGCCAUGUCCCCAACAGCUUUCCUCUGCCACACACUUCUGCCGUGAUAUCCUGCCUCACCUCAGGCCCUGAGAAAUGGAAUUCACUGUCUGUGGAUUCAGACUUCCAAAGUAGUGAGCCCCAAAAUAAACUUUUCCUCCUUAAAAUUGUUCUUGUCAGAUCUUUUGUUCACAGCAGCAAAAAUAUGUCUAAACUGAAGGCAUCCUUGGUAGCAUAUAAAGGGAUUUUCAUCUCUUCAUCUUCAUCACACCUUCCCCUGGACCCUCUGAACUCUAGAAUUGCCAGAUAAAAUACGGGAUGACAAAUUUAAUUGUUAAA
rnacentral:lncRNA from 1 species